UGAGCAAUCUGCCCUUCUCAUCGGAAUAAGCGUUGGAAACGACGUCUAAUGCCGAAUACGACCUCCUUUCGCAUGAUCGGAGGUGGAAAGCUCCGGCGGAGAAGGAUGAGCUCGCGGUCUAUCAGCUAGUUGGUGUGGGUAACGGCCCACCAAGGCGACGACGGGUAGCCGGCCUGAGAGGGUGACCGGCCACACUGGGACUGAGACACGGCCCAGACUCCCGUACGGGAGGCAGCG
rnacentral:rRNA from 1 species